AGAGUUUGAUCCUGGCUCAGGACGAACGCUGGCGGCGUGCUUAACACAUCAAGUCGAACGGGGUCCUGGUUGGUGGCAACACCUUCCAGUACCUAGUGGCGAACGGGUGAGGAACACGUGAGCAACCCACCCCGGACUCUGGGAUAACAGCGGGAAACCGCUGCUAAUACCGGAUACCUUCCUCUGGUCGCAUGGCCAGGCGAAGAAAGGGUUACUGGUUCGGGACGGGCUCGCGGCCUAUCAGCUAGUUGGUGGGGUAACGGCCUACCAAAGCGUCGACGGGUAGCUGGUCUGAGAGGAUGAUCAGCCACACUGGGACUGAGACACGGCCCAGACUCCUACGGGAGGCAGCAGUGGGGAAUCUUGCGCAAUGGGCGAAAGCCUGACGCAGCAACGCCGCGUGCGGGAUGACGGCCCUCGGGUUGUAAACCGCUUUCAGCAGGAACGAAUCUGACGGUACCUGCAGAAGAAGGUCCGGCCAACUACGUGCCAGCAGCCGCGGUAACACGUAGGGACCAAGCGUUGUCCGGAUUUAUUGGGCGUAAAGAGCUCGUAGGCGGUUCGGUAAGUCGGGUGUGAAAACUCUGGGCUCAACUCAGAGAGGCCACCCGAUACUGCCGUGACUUGAGUCCGGUAGGGGAGCACGGAAUUCCUGGUGUAGCGGUGAAAUGCGCAGAUAUCAGGAGGAACACCGGUGGCGAAGGCGGUGCUCUGGGCCGGUACUGACGCUGAGGAGCGAAAGCGUGGGGUAGCAAACAGGAUUAGAUACCCUGGUAGUCCACGCCGUAAACGUUGGGCACUAGGUGUGGGACCCCGCCAACGGGUUCUGUGCCGCAGCUAACGCAUUAAGUGCCCCGCCU
rnacentral:rRNA from 1 species